CGGAGGCGAACUAUGUUCGUUUCUCAAGUUUUUUCUAGUAAAAUUUAUAAAUUCUAUGUGUUUAUAAAAUAUCGUAGGUGAUGUUCGAAAUCCCUGAUGUUAUGAUUCUCGUGUGAGUAUGUUACUUUCUCGGAACCUCCGACAUUUACUGAGGAACGAAGUGUUCAGACAAGGGUUUUCUUUACUUUGACUUGGUUAAGUUGGUUUCUAGUAAGCAGGUCUAUGGGCGUAAGGCGACGAGCCGAACGAGAAUAAAGUCCUCAUAUUCUGGAUAAAGCCGAACCCGAACCAACUUAACGAGUUAGUUUUCCCCGGCCCUGGGGUAGUUUGUUCACUAUUUGGAUGCGUGUUUCAAGUGCAACUUGAGCAACCAUGGCCCGAGCGGCUCGCCCGCCAAUGUGCAGUAAGAGGUUGGUCUCACCAUGGAUGGGUUAUUGGAAAACUUCCAACGAACGGAGGUGGCAGCUAUUUAACCCCGCAACCUCUUUAGAAAUGUUCCUAGUAAAUGGCCUGCGUUCCGCGGCUUCGCUAGCUCGUGCAAUAUGUCGGUACUAUUCCGUCGGGCAGUAGAGGUAACUGAAAGCGCGUGCAAUCAAGUUCUCAAGGUUGUUACUUUUUGUUGGGAACUCAUUUAGGACAAGACGGCGGACAUUGGUGCUGGUAAACGAGUGGCUCUCGAACUGCCGGUAUCGUCACGUGGGGAAGUCUCGGCGUCGAUCGAGCUCCUCAGCUCAGAAGAGAGAAGAGCUCAGGCAAGUAGUGUGGAGGACAACCCGGACAUGAAACCUGAAGUGACUGCGAAGGCGAAAGCGACGGUGGCUCCAUACCGGGGGGACAACUCCUGGGGAUUCUUUGGGGCGGGAAAGAGAAGAUUCCGAUGAGAAUUAUUAUUGGUGGUGAUUUCGCGAUAGGUUGGGAAACGGAUUGGAAAAAAGGAAAUAAAAAAAGAGCUAUUUUUUUGCGGCGGCGGAGGGGAGGGGUUCCCCCUCUCCCCCGAGCCCCCUCACCCCCUUUUAAGGUGAAGGCCUUACUCAAUUCCUAUCGGAAUUGCGGCCUUCCUCGGAGAAGAUAUAUAUUUAUAAACCUACCGGGGGGCACUUCCCCCGGACCCCCUUCUCGAAUCAGGUUCCCCUCCGUGGUCCCCUUUCGGGUCCCACUCCGGCCCCGCUUCGCUCCUUUUUAUCCAAUCCAACAAUCAUAUUCUGCUGCUUAACACACCAAUUAUGAUUUUUCCUCCAUACCGGGGGGAUUCUCAGAAAGCUUCUUCCCCCCCUUAAGAAUCCCCCCGGGUGGUGAAUCAGAGCAGAGUCGAGCCCUCGCCCCCCCGGGGGGCGGGGGGAUUUCCUCACAUUUGAAGGAUUCAAAUGCUGUUAUGCUUAUCUGAAGGAUUUCAGAUAAGUUGAAAAAGCUUAUCUGAAAGCUUUCAGAUAAGACUCAAGGUUAUAUAUAUUUUUACAUGCUUAUCUGAACUCUUUCAUAUGAGAGUAUAAGAGUUCAGAUAAGAGUAUGGUAAAGGCCUUAUUCAAUUCCUAUCGGAAUUGCGGCCUUGGAAGUGUUAUAUUUUCUUUAAAGCCCGCAGGGUUGAUUAAAGGGUGUUUUAACGCUAGUUAGAUCUUUUUACACGUCCGGAGGCGAACUAUGUUCGUUUCUCAAGUUUUUUCUAGUAAAAUUUAUAAAUUCUAUGUGUUUAUAAAAUAUCGUAGGUGAUGUUCGAAAUCCCUGAUGUUAUGAUUCUCGUGUGAGUAUGUUACUUUCUCGGAACCUCCGACAUUUACUGAGGAACGAAGUGUUCAGACAAGGGUUUUCUUUACUUUGACUUGGUUAAGUUGGUUUCUAGUAAGCAGGUCUAUGGGCGUAAGGCGACGAGCCGAACGAGAAUAAAGUCCUCAUAUUCUGGAUAAAGCCGAACCCGAACCAACUUAACGAGUUAGUUUUCCCCGGCCCUGGGGUAGUUUGUUCACUAUUUGGAUGCGUGUUUCAAGUGCAACUUGAGCAACCAUGGCCCGAGCGGCUCGCCCGCCAAUGUGCAGUAAGAGGUUGGUCUCACCAUGGAUGGGUUAUUGGAAAACUUCCAACGAACGGAGGUGGCAGCUAUUUAACCCCGCAACCUCUUUAGAAAUGUUCCUAGUAAAUGGCCUGCGUUCCGCGGCUUCGCUAGCUCGUGCAAUAUGUCGGUACUAUUCCGUCGGGCAGUAGAGGUAACUGAAAGCGCGUGCAAUCAAGUUCUCAAGGUUGUUACUUUUUGUUGGGAACUCAUUUAGGACAAGACGGCGGACAUUGGUGCUGGUAAACGAGUGGCUCUCGAACUGCCGGUAUCGUCACGUGGGGAAGUCUCGGCGUCGAUCGAGCUCCUCAGCUCAGAAGAGAGAAGAGCUCAGGCAAGUAGUGUGGAGGACAACCCGGACAUGAAACCUGAAGUGACUGCGAAGGCGAAAGCGACGGUGGCUCCAUACCGGGGGGACAACUCCUGGGGAUUCUUUGGGGCGGGAAAGAGAAGAUUCCGAUGAGAAUUAUUAUUGGUGGUGAUUUCGCGAUAGGUUGGGAAACGGAUUGGAAAAAAGGAAAUAAAAAAAGAGCUAUUUUUUUGCGGCGGCGGA
rnacentral:lncRNA from 1 species